AGAGUUUGAUCCUGGCUCAGGACGAACGCUGGCGGCGCGCCUAACACAUGCAAGUCGAACGGAGCUGAGAGGAGCUUGCUUUUCUUAGCUUAGUGGCGAACGGGUGAGUAACGCGUGAGUAACCUGCCCUGGAGUGGGGGACAACAGUUGGAAACGACUGCUAAUACCGCAUAAGCCCACGAUCCGGCAUCGGAUUGAGGGAAAAGGAUUUAUUCGCUUCAGGAUGGACUCGCGUCCAAUUAGCUAGUUGGUGAGGUAACGGCCCACCAAGGCGACGAUUGGUAGCCGGACUGAGAGGUUGAACGGCCACAUUGGGACUGAGACACGGCCCAGACUCCUACGGGAGGCAGCAGUGGGGGAUAUUGCACAAUGGGGGAAACCCUGAUGCAGCGACGCCGCGUGGAGGAAGAAGGUUUUCGGAUUGUAAACUCCUGUCGUUAGGGACGAUAAUGACGGUACCUAACAAGAAAGCACCGGCUAACUACGUGCCAGCAGCCGCGGUAAAACGUAGGGUGCAAGCGUUGUCCGGAAUUACUGGGUGUAAAGGGAGCGCAGGCGGACCGGCAAGUUGGAAGUGAAAACUAUGGGCUCAACCCAUAAAUUGCUUUCAAAACUGCUGGCCUUGAGUAGUGCAGAGGUAGGUGGAAUUCCCGGUGUAGCGGUGGAAUGCGUAGAUAUCGGGAGGAACACCAGUGGCGAAGGCGACCUACUGGGCACCAACUGACGCUGAGGCUCGAAAGCAUGGGUAGCAAACAGGAUUAGAUACCCUGGUAGUCCAUGCCGUAAACGAUGAUUACUAGGUGUUGGAGGAUUGACCCCUUCAGUGCCGCAGUUAACACAAUAAGUAAUCCACCUGGGGAGUACGACCGCAAGGUUGAAACUCAAAGGAAUUGACGGGGGCCCGCACAAGCAGUGGAGUAUGUGGUUUAAUUCGAAGCAACGCGAAGAACCUUACCAGGUCUUGACAUCCGAUGCAUAGUGCAGAGAUGCAUGAAGUCCUUCGGGACAUCGAGACAGGUGGUGCAUGGUUGUCGUCAGCUCGUGUCGUGAGAUGUUGGGUUAAG
rnacentral:rRNA from 1 species